rnacentral:rRNA from 1 species
AAGGGAAUCUUCGGCAAUGGGGGCAACCCUGACCGAGCAACGCCGCGUGAGUGAAGAAGGUUUUCGGAUCGUAAAGCUCUGUUGUAAGAGAAGAACGUGUGUGAGAGUGGAAAGUUCACACAGUGACGGUAACUUACCAGAAAGGGACGGCUAACUACGUGCCAGCAGCCGCGGUAAUACGUAGGUCCCGAGCGUUGUCCGGAUUUAUUGGGCGUAAAGCGAGCGCAGGCGGUUUAAUAAGUCUGAAGUUAAAGGCAGUGGCUUAACCAUUGUUCGCUUUGGAAACUGUUAAACUUGAGUGCAGAAGGGGAGAGUGGAAUUCCAUGUGUAGCGGUGAAAUGCGUAGAUAUAUGGAGGAACACCGGUGGCGAAAGCGGCUCUCUGGUCUGUAACUGACGCUGAGGCUCGAAAGCGUGGGGAGCAAACAGG